AGAGUUUGAUCAUGGCUCAGGAUGAACGCUAGCGGCAGGCCUAAUACAUGCAAGUCGUGGGGCAGCAGGACUGUAGCAAUACAGUUGCUGGCGACCGGCAAACGGGUGCGGAACACGUACGCAACCUUCCUUUAAGUGGAGGAUAGCCCGGGGAAACCCGGAUUAAUACUCCGUAAUAUUAUGAGAUGGCAUCAUCUUAUAAUUAUAGCUCCGGCGCUUAAAGAUGGGCGUGCGUCUGAUUAGGUAGUUGGCGGGGUAAUGGCCCACCAAGCCUACGAUCAGUAACUGGUGUGAGAGCACGACCAGUCACACGGGCACUGAGACACGGGCCCGACUCCUACGGGAGGCAGCAGUAAGGAAUAUUGGUCAAUGGACGCAAGUCUGAACCAGCCAUGCCGCGUGGAGGAUGAAGGUCCUCUGGAUUGUAGACUUCUUUUAUCUGGGAAGAAACCCAUAGUUUCUACUGUGGUUGACGGUACCAGAUGAAUAAGCACCGGCUAACUCCGUGCCAGCAGCCGCGGUAAUACGGAGGGUGCAAGCGUUAUCCGGAUUCACUGGGUUUAAAGGGUGCGUAGGCGGGCAGGUAAGUCAGUGGUGAAAUCUCCGGGCUUAACCCGGAAACUGCCGUUGAUACUAUCUGUCUUGAAUAUCGUGGAGGUGAGCGGAAUAUGUCAUGUAGCGGUGAAAUGCUUAGAUAUGACAUAGAACACCAAUUGCGAAGGCAGCUCGCUACACGGUUAUUGACGCUGAGGCACGAAAGCGUGGGGAUCAAACAGGAUUAGAUACCCUAGUAGUCC
rnacentral:rRNA from 1 species